UCCGAAUGAAUUCUUUCUUGCAACAAUAAACUUGGCCGAUCAGGAUUUGCCGUUUACAUAUGUAGGUCCUGUUGGUUCUGUAGUAGGACUCAUAAAUUUUUAUUUUUAAUUUACUGAAUCCAUAAAUUUAAAAUAACGGUGCAACUCCUGAGGAUGACAAUGGGGCGGGUGAGGUCUUGGAGUCCUGAAAAAAUUUAUAUCUGCAUAUUAAAAAAUGUGGAUCCGAAUAAGAAAAUCCGCAUGAAUCCGAAUGCAAGUGCAUUUGGAAAAUCGGAUAUCGAGAUCUGGAUAAAAAUUUAUUUCAAAUUAAAAAUUAAAUUAAAUAUAUAUUAAAAAGUAAAUGAAAAAUUAAGAAAGUAAAUUUUAUUUGUAGAUUUAUGAUGUCAUUGUAUAUUAUUCAUGUUGAAUUAUUAAUUGUUGGAUUAUGAUUGAAUUUUAUUUGAUAUUAUUGGGUAAAUUAUUGAAUUUCAUUUUAAAUUAAAAAUAUUUAUUAAAAAUUAAAUUUUAUUUGUAGAUUUAUGAGAUUAUUGUAUGUUAUUCAUUUAAAAUUUUUAAUUAUUGAAUUAUGAUUGAAUUUUAUUUGAUAUUAUUAGGUAAAUUAUUAAACUUUUAAAUUUUAUAUUAAAUUAUAAGCAGUAGGAAAUUAUGGUAUUCAGAACAUGUAUACCUUCGCACAUGAAGCUUGAGUCCAGAACAAGAUGCAGCUAGCCAAUCCUUCAACUUCCAAAACCCCACAAAACCUCUGUCAACAUAUCUGCUCUACUUCAAUAUUAAGCACAUUCAUAGCGGUAUCAACAGCUUACAGCUCCAAAAAUAGUUUGAGAUUUCAUUGAAGCUAAGUUGUGACUUGUGACUGUCCAAAUGUUCUGUCACACGAAAUGAUUAUUCUUGUAACACAAAUCCAAUAGCAUGCAAUAUAAUCUACUCUCUAACACUGUGCAUUAGUAAAAUAAAACAGAGUAAAGCAUUAGUAAAAUAAAACAGAGUAAAAAGAGAAACCAUGCCUGUGAAUCUCUUCUCCUCCCCCCACCACCCCUUUUUUUGGUAAAGUCUAUCAAAUGAAAAUGCAGCAUGACCACAUUGGCCACUACCACUGCCAUUACUCCUUCAACUGUGCCCUUUGUUGCAAGAAAUCUUCAAGUGAAAGAUGGAUUAUAUAAUUAAAGAUUCCAAUAGAAGCAGCAAAGGUUGCCUUCCACUAGCCUAUCAGAGAAUAUGCUUUCUAUUUUCCUAGUUUUAAUCAAAAUUUUGCAAGAUUUAUUUAUGGAAAACUUGGACAAAAUUUUAUGUAAGAUACCAUAAAGCCAAACACAAUCUUUUUAAUUCUCAGCAGCAACAUUUAAAGUAAAAAGAUGGAAGCCAUAUAAAUAUAACUAUAUUUGGUACGAGGAACAAUUAUUUCAAGCUUUCAGAAAUGCUAGCAAGAAAUUGUAAGAGAACUUUACCUAGUCACAGAAUAUGUCAAGCAUACUACCACCAACUGUCUUUAGCACAAUUGUUAUGAAGUAGCCUCUGAAUCGGAAGAUUCAAGCUUCCACCAGGCACAAUUAUUUUCAUUCUCCAUACAAUCUGCAGCAGUGGCAUGAGUUAUAUCAUCAACAUUUGCAUCCUCACUCUCAUCACCCCAAUCAAGGCUUCUUCUCCACCUCUGGAUUAUAAGUCCUCUUCGACAUCUUCAAACAUCUCGGUCCUUCCAUUUGCAAACAACCGAUAUGGCUUCUUUCCUUGCCUUCCUCAUCGUUUAUAUCCCCCAAAAAAGGGUCUUUAGACACCUCAACUUUGCCUUCUGCAAAACCUCCACAAAAUCUGAAUUAUCCAACACAACAGCUAGACGCUUGAUCCUUCUUUUGUCCAUCAUAUCCACCGCAUGAUUCCUCAACAAACAUCUGCAGCUUGUGGCUUAUCUAACACUGUCCUGACCCAAAACCCCACUCUUUUCAACUCAUCUGCCAAACCAUAACCCACUUUUGGAGUCAAAAUUGUCCUUGCAGCCCUUUUAUAUUUUUCCAACUCCAUUGAAUACUUGCCACUCAAAUGCACUCUCCUACCUCUAGCUGAUUCUACUUGAUUCAACCUCUUCUUUUGUUUACACUCAUGAAUUUGGAUAAAAUAAUUAACAAGUUUGUCAUUAUUAUAAAAUCUCCUUUCACAAACACCACAUAAAUAUGGCUCAGCAGGCUUAAUUACACCCUUGCUUUCCAAUUGGUUAAACAAUUUUUCUCUUCUCUUUGCUCUCUUACAACUUGAGGCACAUAACUAAAUGCAUGGCUAUUGGCAUAUGCCACCAUGUAUUUAACAACCCAAGUGAAGAUAUUGAUUUGGGGGUUUGUUGUCCAAAUCCCUAAAAAUUCACACAUUGCGUUGGACAGUUUUUAGUUCUACAAUUAAUGAUACGUUAUGUGAAUUAAGCUCCAAAUGAGAACAUCUAAACAAUGAGACAAAUGGGCUCUAGGUUUCUAAUCAGUAAACAUCGUUCAGUCGCAUAAUUUAUGAAAUUUUUGAAACAUCACUACAGCUACAGGUCUUUAUGUGUCAAUGAACUGCAGAAACUAAUGAUCUACUAGUAGUAGACGUUUGUUGUCCCCACCGUUCCAGGAAGAAAAAUAAGUAGAAGAACUACUUUUAGACCAAAAUUAAAAAAUUGAAACUAUCUUGAAAGACUUUCCCUUCAACUAAGUAAAAAAGAAAAGAAAAAAAAAAGGUAUUAGACAAGCAUUUUCAAAGGAAAAAGAUCAUCCAUUUAUUGUAUGUACUCAGGAAAAAUAAAUGUACUAAUAGGUAGAAACACAGCAAUAAAACUCAAAAACUAACAUCUAUAAAGCUCAAUAACAAUUAUGAAUUAGAUAUUUUGGUCCCUUCAUAAUUCCUCCUCUUGACUUCACAUUUCCCCUCAGCCCGUGAUAAUUUUACCUAUUGAAUUCACAUUUCCCCUCAUCCAUUGAACUUUCCCAAUAACAAGAUGAGUCUAAAUCAUCAAUCUCAUUAAACACUCACAUCUACUAAAUAAUAUCGCAUGCAGUAACUUUAAGUAAGGAUCUAAAACUUACAAGAAAAAGAAAACUACUGUUUAUUAAUUUCAAAAUUUACACAAAAUUACAAAUGAUUUUAUAAACUGUACCAAAACAUGUUCUCUAAAAGAGAUUCAUUAUCCUGCAUUUUCAAAAACAAUAUAAACUAACACUAGAAUAGCCAUUUGAUAAUGAUGUGAAUUUGGGCAGCACCAAGAAGCAGUGAGCCCCAUUUGGUGAAAGCAAAAAGAAAAAAAAUUAAAAUAAAGCACUAUAAAUUCUAAUCAAAUUAUUAACAUUAGCUACACAUCAAGAAACCAGAAUAAAAUCGUUAUCUAAACCACAUACUGAAAAAGAAAAAACAAUGCAGUUAAAAUUCUAUCAUUUUCACUUACAAACAAAUAAAGAAAAAAUUAAGAACAAAGGUUGAAGCAAAGAAUGAUUGUACCUUGAGGUACUUGAGGUUAAUGUUUCCAUAAACGAGACCGAGCGAAAAAGCCGAAACCAGAGCAACCUAUUCUUACUACUCAAAAACACGCCCAGAUCAGAAAAUAAAUGAUCAUUCAAUAACAAUUCAUAGGAAAAUGAUGUUUGCCCCGGGUCAAACCCCGGGUCAAACCCCGAAAAUAACUUAAACGGCGUCGUUUUGAUUAUUUUUUUUCUUUUGGAAUACUCCAAAACGACGACGUUUCUGAUGAUAUUUUGAGAAGAAUAAAAUCUAUCUUCCUCUUCGUUUUCGUUUCUUCGUUUCACCUGUGAAAGAACAGAGCAACAGAGCAACAGAGAUCCCAACUUGGUCUUGUUCCGUUUGACCGUAAAUCUCUUCAUUUCUUCGUUUCUUCGUUUCUUCAAAUAACGGCAAUAUCACCCAAAACAAAGUUUCAUGCAAUGUUGUAAAAAAUAAAUUAUGAUUUGAGAACUGAAAAAAUAAUAUGAGAACUAAAAAAAUGAGACAAAUCAAGAAUAUGAGAACUGAAAAAAUUAAUUCAAUGUUACAAUGUUACAAUGUUCUAAAAACGAAGGCCAACUUCCUAAAAUAAAAUUAAAAAACAAAAUGCUACAAUGUUAAUCUUCGAAAAUUAAACUGAAAAAAUGAGACAGUACCGAAAAAAACAAAUCUUCGAAAAUUCAAGCUUGGCACAAUGUUAAUCUUUCGUCCAAACUCAGCUUUCAACCGUCCAAAUUCAGCUUGUCCAAACUCAGCUUUCAACCGUCCAAACUCAGCUUGUCCAAACUCAUCUUUCAACCGUCCAAACUCAGCUUUCAAGGACACAUUUCGCAGCCGAAACUCAGCCGAAACUCAGCUGCUGUUGGUCUUGUUCUUCAAUGGGUACCAAACGAAAAAGAAACGAAAAAGAAACUCAGACGCUUUCAACUCAGCUUCCAAGGACAAAUUUCGCAGCCGAAACUCAGUCGAAACUCAGUUGCUGUUGGUCUUGUUCUUCAAUGGGUGCGAAACGAAAAACAAACUCAGAUGAAGAGGAUGGAGCUUUAAUUAGUAGAUCCCGUUCUGCUGUCGAUGAGUGCUCCGGCUGUGGAUCUCGGUCGAGGAUGGAAGAAACGAAAAAGAAACGAACAAACGAAAAAGAAAAUAAAAGAAAACGACGCAAAUCAUUCAAUAAACAAACGAAAAAGAAAAAAAAAAAAGAAACGACGCAAACGACGCCGUUUAAGUUAUUUUCGGGGUUUGACCCGGGGCAAACAUCAGCACUCUUUCCUUUAUGAAUUGGGAAAAUGCUACUUUCCCCGGGUCAAACCCCGAAUUAUUUCAAAACGGUGUCGUUUUGUUUUUUUUUUUUUCUUUUUACUUGCAUGAAACGUGGUCGUUUGAGCUAGUAAAAACAAAACAAACUAAAGCAGAAAAAACUCAAGUGCUUAUCUUCUCUGCCCCUUUCUUAAUUUCCUUUUGACAAACCACGGAAUCACACCCACAAACAACAAUCACCCACAGUCACGCGAACAGCCGGCACAGACGAAGGAUGAGCCCACAGACGACGGACCACCGCAUUGAAAUCUCUGUCCACAUCACCGGCACCAUCAUCGUAGGUCUGUAACAAACUGUCGUAAGUUAAACCCUUCUCACCGUCGAUGAACUCGACGUAAGUACGGAAUACUUCGUCGAGAAUUGCGUUGAUUUGUUCGUCGCUGAAUUUGACUCGAGGGUUUACGGCCACCACUAAAGCCGCCAUUUCUUCUCUAUUACGGCCACCGUCGCGGUUCGUGUCAAAUUGUUGAAAAAUUCUCUUCACUUUCUCUGAUCUGCUUCCUCUCGUAGCCAUUUUUUUUUUCUGUUUUUCUGGGGGUCAGUUUGGUUUCUCAGUGUUUGUUUGAGAAAGCGGAAUUAGUAGAUAAGGGAAUAUAAGGAAAAGUUGAUAAAAAGGCAAAGGGUGGUUACUUUAAUUGUUGGUGAGAAUAAUGAUGAUGAUGGCUUAAUUCUGGGUUUUGUUGGAUCUGAAUGAAUUCUUAACGGCAAAAGUUAAAGAGUAGAAGAAGAGCAAGAGGACGGACUCUCAUUCUUUCCCUUUUUUCUUUUAAUUUUAAAUAUAUCAAAAACGGCAGCGUUUUGGAGAAACAAAAAAGAAAAAAAAAUUAAAACAAAACGACGCCGUUUUUGUUUUCGGGGUUUGACCCGGGGCAAACAUCAGCACUCAUUCAUAAAAACUCCAUCCCAUCGCAUUUAAAACAAAACAAAGAAAAUAUUGAUUAGAAAAAAAAUUACACGCAUGGAAUAAAAGAAUAUAAAAAUGGAAUUACCAGAGGGAGCUAGUGCCGGAGUAGGAACCAGAAGGCAGCGCCAUAUGAUGCUCUUGUUAUGGUUUUCCUUCUUGUGGGUCUGCGCUGAAGUCGAAGAUGAAGAAACAAGAAAGAGCCAGCAAAUUGAGAAAUCGACUACCAUCUUC
rnacentral:lncRNA from 1 species